CAUGGAGAGCCUCUGCCCACAACUCUGCGGGAAGAGCUCCCUGUACAAUUACCCUCAGUUCCAACCCCUGACCCCGACGUCCCCCAGAAUGUUUCAUCCCGCCCCCCAUGUUCUCUCUCUGGUACAUAUUCACUAUUAUAGUAGCUUUCCAUGUCCUGUAUGCGGUCUAUUAUUUAUUUUAAAUAAAAUGACUUGUUUUCA